rnacentral:rRNA from 1 species
GAGCGAAAGCGACGUUCAACCGCAAAAGAAGCAGAGGGGGCUUAGUGGUGGGGUGACUGCGUACCUUUUGUAUAAUGGGUCAGCGACUUAUAUUCUGUAGCAAGGUUAACCGUAUAGGGGAGCCGCAGGGAAACCGAGUCUUAACCGGGCGUUAAGUUGCAGGGUAUAGACCCGAAACCCGGUGAUCUAGCCAUGGGCAGGUUGAAGGUUGGGUAACACUAACUGGAGGACCGAACCGACUAAUGUUGAAAAAUUAGCGGAUGACCUGUGGCUGGGGGUGAAAGGCCAAUCAAACCGGGAGAUAGCUGGUUCUCCCCGAAAGCUAUUUAGGUAGCGCCUCGUGAAUUCAUCUCCGGGGGUAGAGCACUGUUUCGGCUAGGGGGCCAUCCCGGCUUACCAACCCGAUGCAAACUGCGAAUACCGGAGAAUGUUAUCACGGGAGACACACGGCGGGUGCUAACGUCCGUCGUGAAGAGGGAAACAACCCAGACCGCCAGCUAAGGUCCCAAAGUCAUGGUUAAGUGGGAAACGAUGUGGGAAGGCCCAGACAGCCAGGAUGUUGGCUUAGAAGCAGCCAUCAUUUAAAGAAAGCGUAAUAGCUCACUGGUCGAGUCGGCCUGCGCGGAAGAUGUAACGGGGCUAAACCAUG